UACAGAGGGUGCAAGCGUUGUUCGGAAUUAUUGGGCGUAAAGGGCGUGUAGGCGGUUUGCUAAGUCAUGUGUGAAAUCGCUCGGCUUAACCGAGGAACGACGCAUGAUACUGGCAAGCUAGAGUACCAAAGAGGGGGGUGGAAUUCCCGGUGUAGCGGUGAAAUGCGUAGAUAUCUGGAGGAACACCUGCGGCGAAGGCGGGUUGCUGGGCUGACACUGACGCUGAGGCGCGAAAGCCAGGGGAGCGAACGGG
rnacentral:rRNA from 1 species